rnacentral:lncRNA from 10 species
AGUCCCCAGGAGAGGCUGGUGCAGGAAGGCUCAGACACUGUGUUCUCUGACAUAAUUUAUAUGAGCAUCUCAGCAUCUCAGAGGUGAAGAAACUGGCCUAGCCACCACGUGGUGGCACUUGCAGCCUGAGUCAGCAGAUCCCCAGGCAAAUGAAGACUCUGAGAUGAAGACAGCUGAGCGCAUGAUGGGGCAUUCUUAUGUUUGCAUGUCAUGCUUGGAACUGCCGCAGCCACUUUGUGACAGCCUGAGAAUGAAUCCAGCGCUAAAAUCAGUCUAGCAAAAGGAGGAGAAACACCUGGGUCUCCAUGAUGUCACUGAGCAAGUGAAUUGACCAGCUGUGAGGUCACAACAGGACCAGAAGAGUUUUUCUGGGGGGAGGAUCCCUGAACUAUAGAAAAUGACGGAAUUUCACAGAAGUAAUGGAGCAGAAGCCAGAUUAUCAGAAGUAGGUGAGUGAACAGGUGUGGGAAAUUACAGACCCUGAGAUUGCUACAGGCUACC